AAUUGUCACAUCGCUACCGCCAUUCACUGCGCCGCUGCUGAUAAUUGCUAACUAGUUGUACCGCCGUCGGCACAUUCGUUUUGUUCGUUUUCGGUACUUGAUAGUGAGGCCGGUUUUGUGGCUGAACGAUGAAGGACUGGAGGAGCUGUGGUCGUGUAGUUUUUAAUUAAAAUCUCAACGGACGCUGACAAACCAGCGAUAAGUGAUUUGGAGUGAUAGAGUGUUUGUUUUCGUUGUAAAACAAUUUCAGGUCACAAAUAGAGUGUCGGCUAGAGCUGUGGCGUCUUUGAAGUGUCGGCUGCCGCUUUAGUUAAUCACGUUUGUUUGGAACAUUUUUUUUAUUAUUGAAUAUAUAGUCAACACAACGGAUGAAGCAAUCGAUGCUGCUGCAGAAGAAAUUGGGCGCAUGUUGAGGUACAUUCAGACGAUUUUCUUCGACUUGUAAGAAAUGGUCAUCGAGUUAAGUUUGGCUGUAAACACUUCCUACAAUCACAAAAAAAAAACAGAACGUCACCCGUUUCGCGUCGUAUCAAAAACCGGGCAGAUGUAAUCGAAACAUCCGGCCAAUUCUCUCUCAUAUGUCUCACCGUGCGGAACGAGGAUUAGCUAACCGCGAAAGGAUUUGACAGAGAUUCGAACCGUGUCAAUCGUGUCCGGUGGCGGGGCCAUUCCAGCUGGCAGACUGGUUCGAAUGAGGAUGGAAGUUAUUUUCGUCCGCUUUUUCGUGGCUAUAAAUGGGCACUGGAUAGAUGUCUGGUGCAGUGAAAUAAAUCAUGAAACUGUCAAUCAAGGCA